AUUUGCUAAAUUCACUGGGCCUCUUCUAGUGACCCACUGAGCCAUCAAGACAAGGGAAAAGUAAAGACACCACUUUUGGGAUCAGCCUCCGAGAAGGGGGGUGAGUUUGGGUUGGCAGGAGG
rnacentral:snoRNA from 1 species